rnacentral:misc_RNA from 1 species
UUUUGGCUGAUUGUUGCCUUUCUUGCAUUUGAGCUUGGUUGGUGGCGAUUAGUUAGAUGGUUUCGGGGAUGUCUACCGUAAAGGUGCAUGAGUGGUGUUUGGUUUGUUACGGGUGGUUGGCUCUUUGCUUGCGCAACAACUUCCACCUGGCAUACCUCUUCAGUUUUGUGUCAAUGCUUGUAUCGCAUUGAAUGCAUGGUGGGUUUCUUGUGUUGCAUGCCUUAUUGAUGGUAUCGUUUGACGGAACAAUUAAUAUUUCGUCUUGUGUUGCACAUGCGAUGUGGGAUGGACCUUAAAGCAGCCUUAUUGAUCCACUCUUUUGAUGCAAACGCAUUAAUUUUGUGGUUCAUUGAGUGUUUGCUUGGUCUCAUGGAUAUGGAACCUUGUGUGGGCAUGUGAUCUUUUAUUAGAUCCAUGUUUGCCCUAGUUAAGCUUUUCAAAUACUAUUUCCUAUCAUGUUCUAAUGUGGUAGGCAAUAUCGAUAUGAAUG